rnacentral:sRNA from 1 species
AGAUGGAGAAAAAGAUUUCAGGAAGAGAGAAGAGCUUAGGUAAAGGCCUGGAGAUGGUCUUGGGGAAAAAAAUAUAUCUGUCACGGAUUACAAUAACCUCUUAACUGGCUGUUUCCACUCUUGCCUCUCUUCAGUCUAUUCUGAACCCAGAAGCCCGAGAGAGCUUCCAAAAUAGACGACGGCUCGAUCUUGGCUUGGGAUCCUGUCUAGGAAGAUGUCCUCUCUGCACAGGGAGUCAGAAAGGAGAUGCUGAAGAAUACCAGCCUCCAAUAUGGAAAUCAUACUUAUAUCAGUUACAGCAAGAGGCACCUCGUCCCAAGAGAAUCAUUUGUCCUCGGGAGGUGGAAAACAGACCAAAAUAUUAUGGAAGAGAGUUUCACGGGAUCAUCUCUCGGGAGCAGGCGGAUGAGCUUCUUGGAGGCGUGGAGGGUGCCUACAUCCUUAGAGAAAGCCAGCGGCAACCAGGAUGCUACACGCUGGCUCUCAGGUUUGGAAACCAGACCUUAAACUACAGGCUCUUCCACGACGGGAAACACUUUGUGGGU